UAGUAGUAGUAGUAUUGUAUCACGGUAUUUAAUAAUAGAGCCUCAACUUAUACUAGUCUUGCCUGAAAAUCUCUCGUUUUCUAUCAUUCUCCCAUCCUGCAGGCCUGAGCCCAGACCGACACCCAGAGAAAUGUAAACAAACGCAGAGUCAGACUAUAUAUACGGGUGAAUUUGUUGCUUUUUAGAGCGGCAGUGGAUCUGUACAUGCGUGAGGUGGCGAGGGGCGUGGCCAGGGGGCGGCUAGCAGCGUGUGCCACCAGGGAAAUGUGUAUGAACAUAAUUAAUAGGCGCCUGUCAAGAAAGGCACAGAUGCAGGGUGGUGAGGCAGUGUUCAUCCCAGGGGCACACCACACAGGGUCAGCAACACAGAUUGGUGGUGGAGAGGCACCUGUGGGACGCCCAGGGGAACACCAAACACGACCUUGACAGACAGAAGAGUUUAUUGAUGAAGUGUGGAAGAAGAGGAGGAAGGAACAAUGAUAUUCGACCAGCUGCGGCAUCUGGGGGCUUCACUUGACUGGGACAGCUGGGACAUGGAUGCUGCGAGAGACUGGCCUGUGUGUCUGUCUGUACAUCCG